AGUGGGGAAUAUUGGACAAUGGACCAAAAGUCUGAUCCAGCAAUUCUGUGUGCACGAUGAAGGUCUUCGGAUUGUAAAGUGCUUUCAGUUGGGAAGAAGCAAGUGACGGUACCAACAGAAGAAGCGACGGCUAAAUACGUGCCAGCAGCCGCGGUAAUACGUAUGUCGCAAGCGUUAUCCGGAUUUAUUGGGCGUAAAGCGCGUCUAGGCGGAAAAAUAAGUCUGAUGUUAAAAUGCGGGGCUCAACUCCGUAUUGCGUUGGAAACUGUUUUUCUAGAGUACUGGAGAGGUGGGCGGAACUACAAGUGUAGAGGUGAAAUUCGUAGAUAUUUGUAGGAAUGCCGAUGGAGAAGUCAGCUCACUGGACAGAUACUGACGCUGAAGCGCGAAAGCGUGGGGAGCAAA
rnacentral:rRNA from 1 species